AUUGUAGGCUGAAACUCGCCUACAUGAAGCUGGAGUUACUAGUAAUCGCAGAUCAGAAUGCUGCGGUGAAUGCGUUCCCGGGUCUUGUACACACCGCCCGUCACACCACGGAAGUUGGGGGCGCCCGAAGCCACUUAGCUAACCCAUUUGGGAAGCGAGUGUCGAAGGUGAAAUCAAUAACUGGGGUGAAGUCGUAACAAGGUAUC
rnacentral:rRNA from 1 species